UAGCUAGUUGGUAGGGUAAAGGCCUACCAAGGCGACGAUCGGUAGCUGGUCUGAGAGGAUGACCAGCCACACUGGAACUGAGACACGGUCCAGACUCCUACGGGAGGCAGCAGUGGGGAAUAUUGGACAAUGGGGGGAACCCUGAUCCAGCAAUGCCGCGUGUGUGAAGAAGGCCUGAGGGUUGUAAAGCACUUUCAGUGGGGAGGAGGCUUGUUAGGUUAAGAGCUAAAUAAGUGGACGUUACCCACAGAAGAAGCACCGGCUAACUCCGUGCCAGCAGCCGCGGUAAUACGGAGGGUGCAAGCGUUAAUCGGAAUUACUGGGCGUAAAGAGUGCGUAGGUGGUUUGGUAAGUUAUCUGUGAAAUCCCUGGGCUCAACCUGGGCAGGUCAGAUAAUACUGCUGAACUCGAGUAUGGGAGAGGGUAGUGGAAUUUCCGGUGUAGCGGUGAAAUGCGUAGAGAUCGGAAGGAACACCAGUGGCGAAGGCGGCUACCUGGCCUAAUACUGACACUGAGGCACGAAAGCGUGGGGAGCAACCAGGAUUAGAUACCCUGGUAGUCCACGCCGUAAACGAUGUCAACCAGCUGUUGGUUAUAUGAAUAUAAUUAGUGGCGC
rnacentral:rRNA from 1 species